UUGACAGAUAUUUGUUUUAACUUAUUUCGAAGACCCUGCACUUAACAUGUUAAGACAAUUUCUAUCCUAUUGAACCCGUGUUGACUAUAUCGUACGUAAUCACAAAUAAACUUAUAUGCAAAGAAGACAAGAAUAAAAACGAAUUUUAAAAAAUAAGACGUGGUGUGAUAGCCAAUGAGAUGACUCUUCACAAGUGACCAGAUGACACAAAAAUUAACAACUAUUGGUCAACACAUGACCUUCGACAAUGAGAAAAGCCCAUACUACAUAGUCAGCUAUAACACGCCUCAUGUUCAACCAAUGCAAUUGUUAAAAGAACGUUCAGUGGUUUUCGUUUGUUUAUGUGUUACAUAUUUGUUUUU
rnacentral:lncRNA from 1 species